AGUGAACGCUGGCGGUAGGCCUAACACAUGCAAGUCGAACGGCAGCACAGUAAGAGCUUGCUCUUACGGGUGGCGAGUGGCGGACGGGUGAGGAAUACAUCGGAAUCUACUUUUUCGUGGGGGAUAACGUAGGGAAACUUACGCUAAUACCGCAUACGACCUACGGGUGAAAGCAGGGGAUCUUCGGACCUUGCGCGAGUGAAUGAGCCGAUGUCGGAUUAGCUAGUUGGCGGGGUAAAGGCCCACCAAGGCGACGAUCCGUAGCUGGUCUGAGAGGAUGAUCAGCCACACUGGAACUGAGACACGUCCCAGACUCCUACGGUAGGCAGCAGUGGGGAAUAUUGGACAAUGGGCGCAAGCCUGAUCCAGCCAUACCGCGUGGGUGAAGAAGGCCUUCGGGUUGUAAAGCCCUUUUGUUGGGAAAGAAGAGCAGCAGGUUAAUACCCCGCUGUUCUGACGGUACCCAAAGAAUAAGCACCGGCUAACUUCGUG
rnacentral:rRNA from 1 species